UUUCCUCCCCUUCUUGUGCAUCGUGUUAACAAUGGAAAGGUUCAGCUCUGCAGAGCAUGUAUUGGCGAGAGUCUGUUCAACGCUCUGUAUGGGCUCAAUCUCUCACCCAUUUGAAGUCCAUGGAAGUGUUGCCUGUGAGUUCCCAGGAACAGGAUCAUACUUUAUAUGAACAGCUGACAGGGGACAGUGGGGGAACCACUAAGGCUUCCCUUGGUUAUACAGGGAGAAGAGGAGAGAGGGAGCUUCCUUGAAGCUUUACUUAAAGCACCUUCACAUGUUAUAACUGAUCUCAGCUGAGUUUUCUUCCCCAAUCAAGCAUGGAUUUAGUGGCGUAAGGAGAAGAAACAAGUGGCAGGAGCAGAUGAACUCUCAAGAAGCAGUGAUCCUGUUGCCAUUCACACAGUCUCAGUAAUAUAGAUUCACGAAAGAGAAAUAC